UACGUAGGGACCAAGCGUUGUUCGGAUUUACUGGGCGUAAAGGGCGCGUAGGCGGCAAUUCAAGUCAUCUGUGAAAUCUCCGGGCUUAACUCGGAACGGUCAGAUGAUACUGCUUUGCUAGAGUGCGGAAGGGGCAAUCGGAAUUCUUGGUGUAGCGGUGAAAUGCGUAGAUAUCAAGAGGAACACCUGAGGUGAAGACGGGUUGCUGGGCCGACACUGACGCUGACAGCGCGAAAGCCAGGGGAGCAAACGGG
rnacentral:rRNA from 1 species